GUGCACGAGCUCGGCGGCAGCCGCUGGUGUUGGGGAAUGCGGUAAUUUAAAAAAAAAUCCUACGAUCACGCAAGAUCUAUCUAGGUGAUGCAUAGCAAUGAGAGGGGAGAGUGUGUCCACGUAUCCUCAUAGACCGAAAGCGGAAGCAUUUAGUUAACGCGGUUGAUGUAGUCAAACGUCUUCGCGAUCCAACCGAUACAAGCACCGAAUGUACGGUACCUCCGCGUUCAGCACACGUUUAGCUCGAUGACGUCCCUCGUACUCUUGAUCCAGUUGAGGCCGAGGGAGAGUUUCGUCAGCACGACGGCGUGGUGACGGUGAUGAUAAAGUUACCGGCGCAGGGCUUUGCCUAAGCACUACAACGAUAUGACUGAGGUGUGUAACUGUGGAGGGGCGCACCGCACACGGCUAAAACAAUUGUCAACUUGUGUGUUCUAGGGUACCCCCCUGCCCCCGUAUAUAAAGGAGAAAGGGGGAUGCCGGUCGGCUCUCUAGGGCGCGCCAAGGGGGGAGGAAUCCUCCUCCUAGUAGGAGUAGGACUCCCCCCCUUUCCUAGUCCUACUAGGAGAAGAAGGAAGGAGGGGGAGGAGAAGGAAGGAGGGGGCGCCUCCCCUUCCCCUAGCCCAAUUCGGACUAGGCCCAUGGGGGGGCAUGGCCAGACCCUGGCCGCCCCUCUCUCUCUCCCUUAGGCCCAAUAAGUCCCAUUACUUCUCUAGUGGUUCCGAUAACCCUUCCGGCACUCCGGUUAUAUCCGAAACUUCCCCGGAACACUUCCGGUGUCCGAAUAUAGUCGUCCAAUAUAUCAAUCUUUAUGUCUCGACCAUUUCGAGACUCCUCAUCGUGUCUGUGAUCACAUUUGGUACUCCGAACAAUCUUCGGUACAACAUAUCACAUAAACUCAUAAUACCAAUCGUCAUCAAACGUUAAGCGUGCGGACCCUACGGGUUCGAGAACUAUGUAGACAUGACCGAGACACGUCUCCGGUCAAUAACCAAUAGCGGAACUUGGAUGCUCAUAUUGGUUCCUACAUAUUCUAUAAAGAUCUUUAUCGGUCAAACCGCAUAACAACAUACGGUGUUCCCUUUGUCAUCGGUAUGUUACUUGCCCGAGAUUCGAUCGUACGUAUCUAAAUACCUAGUUCAAUCUCGUUACCGGCAAGUGUCUUUACUCGUUCCAUAAUACUUCAUCCCGCAACUAAAUCAUUAGUCACAAUGCUUGCAAGGAUUAUAGUGAUGAGUAUUACCGAGAGGGCCCAGAGAUACCUCUCCGAAACACGGAGUGACAAAUCCUAAUCUCGAUCUAUGCCAACCCAACAAACACCUUCGGAAACACCUGUAGUGCACCUUUAUAAUCACCCUUUUACGUUGUGACGUUUGGUAGCACACAAAGUGUUCAUCCGGUAUUCGGGAGUUGCAUAAUCUCAUAGUCUGAGGAACUUGUAUAAGUCAUGAAGAAAGCAGUAGCAAUGAAACUGACACGGUCAUAAUGCUAAGCUAAUGGAUGGGUCAUGUCCAUCACAUCAUUCUCCUAAUGAUGUGAUCUCGUUCAUCAAAUGACAACACAUGUCUAUGGUUAGAAAACAUAGCCAUCUUUGAUUAACGAGCUAGUCUAGUAGAGGCGUACUAGGGACUAUAUGUUUUGUCUAUGUACUCACACAUGUACUAAGUUUCUGGUUAAUACAAUUCUAGCAUGAAUAAUAAACAUGUAUCAUGAAUUAAGGAAAUAAAUAAUAACUUUAUUAUUGCCUCUAGGGCAUAUUUCCUUCAGCUGGGCGCGUCGUUGCGUGGAAGGUCUGGUGGUGCGGUCGUGCUUGCGCGGGGUAGAAGGAGGCCAGAGGUGUGGGUGCAAGGAGAUCCGAAGAAGCCGAGAAGGAGCAGGUCGAAGGCAGUGGCGCGGCGCCGACCGCCUAGGGUUAGCAGGUGGGCGGGAUUUGGGUUUGGUUGUGUGGGUGAUGGCGCAAGGGGGUGGGCGCGGUUUGGAUCGGGAAGGGGGGUGUGGGUGGUCCAGCCAGCAGUAGCUUAGGGUUUUCUCAUCUAAGUCAAUGACACAUGGGACCUACUUGACAGGGUUAUUAUUAUACGGGUUUGAGGGUUCACGAGUAUGGCUAUUGCCUUCCCAUACUCGUACCCGCCUUACCCAUUGGAUAUGAUUUUUUUCCCAUUUAGAAACCCAUGGGUAUUUUAAUUUCCCAUGCCCUUACCCUAAUAGGGUAUUUACCCGUCGGGUUCGCGGGUUGCGGGUACCCGUUGCCAUGUUGACUCUCCGCCUUCUUCCCCUCCUUCAUCUUGUGAUACUUGCCUCAUUCUUCUUCGUCGUGAUGUGCAAGAACUUCUCCGUCAUCUUGGCCGCCGCCCCUUCUCGCGUCUCCUUCUCCUCCUAUCACUUGCUCCACAAGUUCCUAAUCAUCUUCUUGGUCGGAGCAAGCCCUCCUUGUGCUGGAACGGUUGGAUCACAACCUUCGUAUUCAUUGAUCAUGACGGUCUUGGCAGAAUUUCAAACAAGGAGUUUCACUUGCUUUGUCCAUUCAACUUUAACCAACAAUGCAUAUAGUUGAAGUGCUUCUUCUCCAUCUUGUAAUAUAAUACACGCGCACAUAGGGACUAGAAAAGAAAGGUAAUGGAUGGUCAACAAGUUGCAACAUUAAGCAAAUCAGUAAAAUGGCCAACAAAUAGAGCCGCAUGCCACAAGACUUACGAGAUCUUGGAUUGUUGUACCACUUGGCCAUCAGGUUUUCACUUGUUUGAAAAAGCCGCGAAACUUGUUGAGGAUCUCUUGAAUAUUGUAUCAUCGAUGGCUGAGUGACUUUGAAUUCCGCUGAUGGAUCACUUCCUUGCGGUAGGGAUCGUUCUGCUUUUGCUGGUGAAACCAAAUAUGCAUGCUUUGCCAAAACGCCGCACCCUAAAAUGUAUCGAUGGCCAACCAUACCACACACAACAAUUCAUCCUUCUUUUGAGUGAAAUUUAGCCCCCUCCGCUUCAUCUUGGGUCGGCACACGAUGAUCACUGCUCGUUUGGAUCCAUGUCUGACUUCUGGGUGUCCCGCUGGCUGUGAGUGUUCCUUGGCUAAAAGUCCUUCGCUUGUCCAUCUUCGUAGUCGUCCGCGUCGUGGAUAGUUUUCAUCAUUGCGUCAUCGUCUACCCCGUCCCACUUGGAUGAUGCAUUGCGGUAAAUAGUGAUUGGGUACCGACGGAUGAGCGAUCCACAUCCGGCAUCUGCGACUGGACAAGCCCCGCCAAAUGCGACUCCAUGAAGACAUAAUUGGUGUUGAGGUUAACAGUGAACGGGACUCGAUGGCUGGAGGUGAAGGAGGACGCGGACUGCUGCGGCGAUUGUUGCAUACCAAAGUGUUGGGAGGUGUAGUAGUAGGAUGGCUUCGGCUGAGACGAUCACACCGUCGAUUGUGCAGGCCACACGAGGGUGGCGACAAGCUAUGUCGGAUGAGGUCCUUUCUAACCGAUCGCCUACGCACUGCCAGACUUCUUUCUCGCCUUGUGGCGACAGACGUUGCCUUCCACGCCUGCGACCUUCCGGGCGGCCUCCAUGCUCGGGUCCUUUGGCUCCGGCAGGGCGAUGAUCAACGGUCCUCCAGCGGUACCUCUAUCACUCCGAUGGACCGCCUAACGGUAGGAGGGAGGCGAUGAUCGAGACAGAGACAUGGAAAAUGGAUGGCUUUCGCAUGAGAACAUUGAUGGGAAUGUCCAAAUUAGUGAGCUCGGGUGGAGUUUGUGGGUGUAUUGGGCGUGUCGAAGUCCGACGUGGCGGUCGUCUGGACGCCCGCAAAUCUCCCCUACGUUUGAUUCCAAUUUGUGAGAUUUCAAACGUCCGGAUUGGUCCAGACAAAUUUAAUGAUUGUUGGAUGGCAAAAAGAUGUCUGAACUGUUUGAUCCAAACAUUUAGGGGCAUUUUGGUGAUCCAUGUUGGAGUUGCCCUUAAGGAUGGCAAAUUUUUCUUGUGCCCCCAAUUGCAUGGGUGCAUGUGACAGCCGGUUGGUUGAAGGCAUCAUCGAUCAUGGUCCAUGCAUGGAUGACUAGAUGUCACUCGUGACACGCACAAAAGUUUCGCAGUGGACCCUUGCACAUGCAGCACAACACUAGGCAGGCACUAGGGGUCCAGCUCCACCUAGGAAGCACUUGUUUUAUCCAGAAUCCUGGUGGGCGCGGGUGACUGUUCUAUUCAAAAGCUAAUUGGAUAAACACCCGGCUUUUAGUUAAGUUUUUACAGGUUCCGUCCAGAGCUUAUAAAAGGCGCCCCCUCCUUCCCAUUCAGAGCACGGAGCUCCAGCACCAACCCACAAACCCACAGACACACCAACAACCUCAAGACAGAGGCCGGAAACUGAGGCGCAAAGGAAGGAAGCAGAGCAAAGUCUUCUCUCCGCCUCCGCGUCUUACGAGAGAAACAAGCCUUCGGUUCUUCAUUCCAACAGGAAAUGGAGAAGGCAGGACACGAGCAUGUGAUCGGCAUCCCAGUGAGCAGCACUGCCAUCGGCAUCGAGGAGCCCGAGUUCACCAGCGAUGGACCUACCAAUGUCCACGGUGAUGCAAAAUACUCGACGAGCACGCGUACCGGCGGCAAAUCGGGCAGGGCAGCGGACAAAUUCGCUCGAGGAAUCAGAGAACAUGGUAAGUCCUCCUUCUCCAGUCCGUCUGGAUGAAUCUUGUAGCCUUUCCUGUUCAUAUGUAGGUUCAUCAGUUGUGAAUUAGACACUGAACAUAGAUAUGUCCUUGUGCAGUGAGUCUCGGCCCAAAACUGUACGAGACCGUGAGGGGCAAGCUGUCGCUGGGCGCGAGAAUCCUCCAGGCCGGCGGCGUGGAGAAAGUCUUCCGGCGGUGGUUCUCCGUGGAGAAGGGCGAGAAGCUCCUCAACGCCUCGCAGUGCUACCUGUCCACCACCGCCGGCCCGAUCGCCGGGAUGCUCUUCGUAUCGUCGGAGAGGGUGGCCUUCCGCAGCGACCGGUCGCUGGCGCUGACCUCGCCCAAGGGCGACACGGUGCGGGUGCCGUACAAGGUGGCCGUCCCGCUGAGCAGGGUGAAGGCGGCCAAGCCGAGCGAGAACCAGCACCGGCCGGAGCAGAAGUACGUCCAGCUGGUGACCGACGACGGCUUCGAGUUCUGGUUCAUGGGCUUCGUCAGCUACCAGGCGUCCCUGCAGCACCUCGAGCAGGCCAUCGCGGAGUCGCACCUCUGACCCCAUUGAUUGAUCAAAGAAGCACGUACGCGCUGUGUGUGUUGUGUUGUGUGUGUGCUGGUCCGGUUAAUAUGUUGUGCAUAGGUAAGUUAGGGUUUCAUGGUGGAUUGCUUGUCGUUUUUGGCAUUGGAGCAAGUCCGGUAUACUUAAAUGGUAGGGGAAAUUUAAUUUAGGGCGUGAAAAAUUCUUCAUGUUGAAGAAGUACUGUAUGUGUAUGGUACAGUCGCCACGGCAAAACUGCCAUCAUAAACGUGUGGUAUGCACUAGUUCAGUGAGAAAAAUCGUGAAUUGUUUGUUCCACUUCUUUACAACUUGCAAGUGCGUCCAGCCCGUCUCUUUUUUUCAGCAUUUCUUUGAGGAAAUGUUCUCAAAACCCUGUAAAGCUAAAGCUCAGGCCGAGACAGGCUGUGUAUGCUUACAUAAAGAUGUGAAUUUAUAUUAUCAAGAGAAAUCAAACCUAACUUGAGCUGUCAAGUGGCCAUAAUUCAUAGAAACACCUGUAAUGUAUGCAACUGCCCUAACCUACGUUAUUUGUUGAACUGAAAAGUACAGAAGAAAAGAAACAGCACUGAGAGAACAAAAUUUGUGGAACAAUACCAAAGAACACCGGAUGUCUAUCGGUGACGCAUGGACCUGGAACCACAAGUGGUGACAGCUAGCUGCAUAUUCAGGGGUAUGUCCCAAAUAUAUUUCUAAGCAUCACACUUUUUUGUGAAUGCCAUUAAGUUAAUCCCAACGAAAUUAAUACUGCAAUAUAUGGCCUCGCCAGCUGAUUCCCAUCGAAUAUUCUGAUAACACAUGCAUGUGGCUAUUUUAUACUAUUCUCUUCAACCAUAUUUAAGAACAUAAUGAGUAAUUAAUAAGAGAAGGAUUCAUAUGGAAUGGGCACUGUAUGUCCACUGCGACUGUUUUCUUUUAACAAAGGCAAAUGCUUUGCCAUGUUUAUUUAAUAUAAGUAGGGUCUUAUAACAUGUACAAGAGAGAGAGAGAGAAAAAGGGUCAAACCGAAAGCAUACUCUUCCAAUAUCAACUCUCCUAAUUGCUUUGCUUCGGCCAUCAUACAAGCUUUUGGUAACAAGAACCAAACACUUUUGAAGGCUUGUGUUCUGCUCGUUCCAAAUUAUUUAUGAUACAACAACAUAAGGUUGUGACGGGCCAUGCUGUCGAGGCAACCUUCAACUAGUGAUGCAAGGAGACCACAUACAACAAGUUUAGACAUAUGUCAUAUUGUUAGCCAAGAUUUUGCACCCCCGGCGACUCCGAGCUUGACAAGAUAAGCGGCGUCGCAGCGUAAGGAUCCUUUCGGCAUUGACAUGCCUUACAGUUCCUUGCCUUCUGCUUUGGUCAAAACUUAAUUUAGGCAGGCCCAUCUAGCCUCAUGGGUUGAUAACUUUUCACACGAUGAGGAUUCCCCACGGUCGGUAUUUUACAUUCCAAAAAUGCUAGACCUACGUAAUCUAACUACGUAAACUUAUGUUCCUUCCAUCCUAAACUAAUUAGGUCCCCCUGAUUUUCAGUGGGUAGGAGUGGGCAUGUUUUCUCUCCCAACCAAAUCUGACCACCUCAACUUUUUCGUAGGUUACGUAGAAAAAAUUAUGUAGAUGCAGCAAAGCUCUUUACAUGCCCAUGGAGGACCUUAUAUAGCCUAGGGGUCCUUCACAAAUGACCAAGGCUACCCUUGAGGAGACGAGGUAGGAGGGUAGAACUAUAGAUAAUUUCCCGUCCUUUGAUUCAUGUGCCUCUAGUCUAGUUAGGAGGUGGGUUGUAGCCCACUAAGUAGAGAAUCCCUAUACUAUUUGAAGGCCUUCUUGAUUGGGCUCGGGCUCUUUGCUACUUUGUAAUGUGGUCUUCUUUCUUUAACUUGUUGACCAUAAAUGUUUGCUUGGACUUCCAUUGACCAAGGUGGCUUGCUAGGACCCACGACAGCUUGCUUGGACUAUUUGUUCACCUCAUUGACUUGCGUGGAAUAUCCUUCAAUUUUGUUGACUACCGAUGUGGCAUGCCAUGUAGGAUAGGGGGUGGGACCUUGAGUAGGGUUGAACCCAUUACUACAACAGGACCAAAAGGCCAUUCUUGCACCUGAACUUAACAUUGUUCUCUACCCCACCCGGAGAGUGAAGAUAGAAAACCGUCUAGAUAUCAGAUUUAUUUUGUGAUAAAGGGCGUCUCUAUUAACUCAUCAUAUAACAUCAAGAGAUAAAAUAAUAAUGAGCAACAUUCGUCCUCUGUAUAACUUGGAUGACAAGCCCAAUGACAUCGAUACGCCCAUACAAGACUAAUAUGUAGCCCAACUCUCUAGCUCCAAAACCCACAUAUUUUGCAACAGGUUUAGGUUGCUUCAACGCAGUACGGUGUUCAGUCCCGUGGGAAUACCUCUUGCAAACCACACAAUAGACAUUACCUUUCAAGUCUUUAUUCCCAUGUCGAAUCCCUUUGCACUUGCCACAUAUUUGAUCACUCAUUCUGCCAUAUUUGCUCUCUCCUUUGUGGGCAAACUCUCUGGUGGACACCUCUUUGUCAUUUAAGGGCACAAAAAAUACAUUCAUUUUAGGAACAAUAGACAUGAGAUACUAUUUGUGCCAUAUGUUCACUUGGCAUAAAACCCAUCAGCCUCAUUCCCAAGCCAACAUGCACCAACUGAGGGAAAUUAUGAAUUGGUAAGGAAGAAAAUUGUACUCGCGACUGCUGCAAACUCCUCAUCUAAGCUACUCCACCAAUUUUUUGAUUAGAAGGGCUUGGAUUUUCCCACUUGUACCCCUUGUUGUGCUCCAGACACAUUGGUUAGGCAUAAAGGGGUUGCUACCAAACGUCCAAACCAACCUUGCAAUCUUCCAUUACUUUGACCCCGAUAGCCUGUCUGAGUAGGGGAAACCUACACCUCUAUUCAACCGAAAGACAUGUGCACCACUACUACCAAUAUUGUUCCCAUAGAAACCAUCUCUAAAUCCUCCUUCUCCAUCUUUCCCAUUAUAUUGAUCCUAGUUUCUGCUAUAUUGUCUGCCAUAAUUCUUCCUGCCCUGCCAAGAACGUGUUCUGACUGGAAUUACUACAUCACCUUGUCAUCCCUUGUUAGGCCUAGAUUGCCAUUUUCCUUGUCUUCCUGCCAUCAGAUCACCUCUAGUCUCUUCCCGCUCUUCCUCACAAAAACUAAAAGACCUACCCGCCACAGCCUCCUCUCUUGGGGUGGAGAGGGGACAGAAAUCAAGAUGAACUAGGGCGGGAAUGGGGGUGGGUAUAUCAAGAUACUCCCUCCGUAACUUAAUAUAAGACGUAUUUUGACACUGUCAUGGUGUCAGAGGGAGUAGCAGAUAAAGCUCUUUGUGUUUAAAGUUUCUCUCAAGAGCAACUCAACCCAGAAAUUAAGUGUGACUUGCUCUCCUCCUACCAUGGCUCAAAACAUACCAAGUUUAUUAAGAUUCAUGCACUCACGUGUUAGUUUAGAAAUCUAUGUAGCACAUCAAAAGGUCGUUGGUAUGAAUUCUGGGUUAGCAUUUGAUCGACCUAAUAAAACACACUGAAAAAUAUUCAUACGUUUACAUCUGCAUCGUAGGUGCAGGAGUAUUAUUGGGGGUAGGCGCAGCACAUCACCUUUUUUCCUUUCGAUAAAACGCAGGACAUCACUGUUACCACUACUAGUAGAAGGCCCGUGCGUUGCCACGGGCAUUUCCGUAUUUUUGUUGGUUGCAUAUAUAAAUAUAAUGCAUGUCAAAUUUAUGCGUGUAUAGAAAAGAUGACCAAUACAAUCAGAAAAUAAAUAAAAUUUACUUCACUUGCAAUGUAUAAGUUGACAAAAAUUACAAUAUGGCGAUUUAUACAUAGGGAGCAAUGAUUCAACAAAUUAUCUGUUACAAACUAAAAUCUACUUGAUGCAUUUAAGAUAUCCCCGUAUGACGUUAGUAAUGGUUGUCUUUAGCUUCAUUUGCAUGGUUCUAGCACGUAAGGUUAUGAUAAUUCAAUAUAUGAUUAUGAUAAUUUACACACAAUUGUAGAUCCAUAAAGUGUAUAGGAGGGUCUAGAACCAAGAAGACCUCAUCGCAUCCAAGCAUGCAUAUGGCCAUGUUGAAACAAAUCCAAAGAGUGCUCCCUGUUAAGUAGGGUUUAGGGUUAGGCCUACCAAUUGUAGGGUUUAGGGUUAGGCCUACCUAUUGUAGGGUUUAGGGUUUAGUAUAUCAUCAAAAGAAAUCAAAAAAUUGCUUUAGUAUAUCAUCCACACGAUUAACAUGCCUACAUGUAGGAGUGUACUAAUAAAGAUUUUUUUUAUCAAUUUUGCUUUCUCAAGAGUUCAUGUAACAUAAUAAGUUUGUGUUGAUGAAUAUAUAAACUUAAUUUUUGAGUUUGGCAAGUGUUUACCCAUCAGUUUGCAUUUGAUUUAUGAAUCUAUUUUACACGGACCAGUAUGUAACAUUGAGAUCACUUGUUGGUGAUUAUUCUCAAGAAAUUACUUGGGGCAUGUGAUAUUUUCAUUAAAUAAAAAAGUAUGUGGCAACUCUCACAGCAAAAAACCACUUUUCCCUUACACAUACACACAAUAAAAACAACUAUACCUUUAUUCCAAAAAACCAAAAGCACAUUUCUCGACAUUCAUUUUGUUCCUUAGCAAUUUCCCCCGACCCACGCGUUGCCUAGCUCUGGCGGCUCAAGGGAAACCUAACCGUGCCGUCGUCCCUUCCCCUCGCUGGCUCCUCCCUUGACCGCUACCGCGAGACCAUGUCGCAGUGGCGGCGAACCCCAUUCCCACAGGGGAUGGGGAUCGCCGGUCGUCCUUGCGCGGCGGAGCAUGUCUGUCGGGGCAGCAGGCCUGGGCUAGUGAUGGGGGCACUCUACGGCGUGGCGGCGGUGCAUUGCACGCCUGCUUGCAGUGGUUACGAUGCGGUGGCAGGGAUUCAUCUCGCGCAUUGGUGCUGUUCACGGCAGGGGAGGCGUCGUCCCUUCCCAAUAUGUGUGGCGUGAGCUUUGGCUGCGCAUUUGCCCGUCCCUGCGACGCGAUUCCGGUGGCUGGGGGCUUGGGUUGAAGCUCUGCUAGGUUUGCGUCAGUGGUGACCGCUGCUUCUGUUGGCGGCUCGCCCGCUUGGUGCGAUUGUGUGGCAGCCCACCCUCCUGGCUCUCUGGUAUUGUGCGUCGCGUCGCCUUCAGUUUUCUUCAGUGUCUUGGCUCGGGAGACUGCCAAAACGGUCCGUCCUCGGGCGGAUCUAGCUCGCUAGUUCUUUCCGACUGGCGGCGAGGAUUGUGGUAGCUCCUACAUGGUCAGGGUGUGGUGGCUCCAUUGAGGUGUGUGGUCCAUCGGAGCUGUUGUGCGUGGGGGUGUGGGUUUGGGUGGUGCUCCGGGCGAAAGCUUGUCGGGCUCUUGCUGGCUGACGGCAUCGGCGUCUGUGGACGUCGUUUCAUGUCGUUGGAGACGCCACUGUGGAUUCCACCCUUUUCGCACCCUUGGAUCCAGUUCAUUGGGCAAAAGCCUAUGGCCUGGUCAGGUCGGACGAUGAUGUCGGCAUCACCGCUUCCCUCUUUGGGUCGUCGCCUGGAAGAACUUUGGAUCCCGUUUGUGCGCUCCAUGGGCUGGACGUUCGCCAUUACGGUCGGCAGGUGCCCGUUCAACAAUGUUUUUGAUCUGCGAGGCUUCUUUUCUGUGGCAAUGAUGGUGGCUUCGGCCAGAGAUGGCUUGCUGAUGGUCUUGGUAGUUGGUCUCUUCCGGUGUGUUCGAGGGGUCGCCGUGCCUUGCUUUGUCUUCCUAAAGUCGGAGCUGCUGAGGAGGGGCCAUUGCGGUGAAGAUGACACGAGACAGGUGGUCGGCUCUGUGGCUGGCUCGACGCAAACCCAACGCUUUUCUCCCCCAAUGCUCGUCGACAAAGUCGGAGCUGAUUGGUCGCCGGCACGUGUGGGUGACUGUUUGGCAUCAACCGCCGCAAACCUUGACGCUUGUUUGCGGUGAGGGCUUCUUUGGUGGUCGUCGAUGGUGGAGUUGGAGUCACCCUCAGGGAGGGGUGAUGACGGUGAUGUUGAGCUGCAACCUCGACAACGCUUUUCUCCUCGGUGACGUGUGUAUGUUCUUGUGCGAGUUGCCGGGUCGCCUCGUGUGGCUUGUUUUUGUGGGCGUGAUAUGUGACGGUUUAAAUCCUUUUUUGUUAAUUAAGCAGGUAAUUCUCUUUGACCUUUUUAAUGAAUCGGACCUAAGGACCGCGUUAAAAAAACAUGCUCCUUUUCUUCUUAUUAUCUUGGAAAAAAAUAUCACUCUCUCACCGCACGGUCACGACACAAGCCUUCACUCUCUCCCUGCAAGGCAGCGGUGCUGCCAUCUCUCCUUAUCUCCCCGCCACGGCGUGGCCGCCGCCAUAUCUCCCCUCAUGGCUACUCCCAGCUGCCUCCCCUCCAUGGCGUGUCAAUCAACCCACACCCUUCUCUCACCGCCGCCUCCCAUCCCCCAUGGCGUCGCUCAUCCCAUCCACUCCCCGCCACGGCGUUGCCAACACAUCUGGCACGGCGAGCAGCGAGAUCCGACCGGGAGGUGGAGAAGGCCUCGUUGUUAUCCGUUCGCAGAAGUCCACGUAGCUGGCCUGUCCGGAUUUGGGCAAGAUGACCUCAGGCACGAGGUGUGGCUCGACAAGUUGGAGGGAUGGCCCCCUGGUUCUCAGGCCCGGUCUUCUAGUUCAGCCGAGACGCACCGUCCAUCUCCAUAGCGGGGACAUCCCAGGCAGCAGCGGAGUAGCCUCCAAGGAAAGCCGGACCAAGCGUGAGCACGACAAGUAACUCGAGGCGCUGCACCGGUGACCAGUGAGUGUCCCCUCCCAAUCCCAUCCCCCCCUCUGUAACUAUAAGGGUUUCGUUCUGAUUCAUGUUGGUGAACGGGAAGUACAUUUGCUCUUGCACAUUUGGUCAGAUAAAUGUGAAGAUUUUUCUGGUUUACAUGCAUUAUCUGCUACCAGUUCGAGCAUAUACACAGUAUGACAUCCUAGCCCAAGAAUCUAGUUCAAGUGAAGUUGUAAUCUUAAAGAAUUGUACUUGGUAUUACAAUAACUGAGUGUCUUACUCAAUUCCUUGAUCGAAUUUGAAAUUUUGGUGUGUCUCAGAAUGAUGCUCCUUCUGAUGGACUGAAUGAUUUUACGGAAUUUAUUCUCAUGUGUGUGCAGUGGGAGUCUUGUACACGAAGAAGUACUACAAAUUGGCCAAGCACCAGUAUUGGAUGCGUCAAAUCUCGGACUGAUCAAACCCAACAGCCUCGUUCGGUUCAGGGGGAUGGUUCAGGACAUGCUCGGGGCGAGUUCUAUGCCGGCUCUUUAGAGGUACUGAAAUGAUUUUAUUGAUAGGCUGUGGUGAAGCUACAGCUCAUGCUUCUUAUGCUCAUUUGUAAAAAACAUUGUUUGUGAAGGAUGUGCUACCUGGAGGACAAAAAAGUUCACAGACUUCUCACCAUUCUCGAUGAUGUACCCAUGUGAUUCGCAUCUCUGGGAGCACCAUCUCUGCCAUUGCGUGCCUGUAUGUUACUACAUGCCUGAGCACUUGUUUUUUUCACUUUCUUACCAUUAGUGUAGUUCACCUGGAACUUAUGAAAAUAACUUCUUUAAGGUGCAUAGGCAGAAUUCUUGGAUACUGGAGUCUCCCCCUGGACCUGUCUUUCGCCAAAUGGCAAACUGGUUGACACCUGANNNNNNNNNNNNNNNNNNNNNNNNNNNNNNNNNNNNNNNNNNNNNNNNNNNNNNNNNNNNNNNNNNNNNNNNNNNNNNNNNNNNNNNNNNNNNNNNNNNNNNNNNNNNNNNNNNNNNNNNNNNNNNNNNNNNNNNNNNNNNNNNNNNNNNNNNNNNNNNNNNNNNNNNNNNNNNNNNNNNNNNNNNNNNNNNNNNNNNNNNNNNNNNNNNNNNNNNNNNNNNNNNNNNNNNNNNNNNNNNNNNNNNNNNNNNNNNNNNNNNNNNNNNNNNNNNNNNNNNNNNNNNNNNNNNNNNNNNNNNNNNNNNNNNNNNNNNNNNNNNNNNNNNNNNNNNNNNNNNNNNNNNNNNNNNNNNNNNNNNNNNNNNNNNNNNNNNNNNNNNNNUUUGUUACAAUAAUGAUUCUCAACAGUUUUGAUGUCCACUAACCAUCAUUGUCAUCUAAUGCAUUGCUUGCUAUAGGUUUCAUUGUCAUCUAAUCAUUCUCAAUAGUUUUUUUCACUUUCAUGCAGUAAGAAACCAGCAAGAACCGAACUUAGUUUUCUACCAUUGUGAAGGGCAAAGUUUAGGAAGCAACUUAAUCUUUAAGCUCUCUAUUUUUUCAUUCCCCCAUAUGAAAUUGUCUCAUAAUCUAGUUGUAUUUUUUCCUGGAUGCUAUGCUUUCAUCGUAGGCCUUUUAUUCUUUAGGUAAAUUGGAGCUUUAUCAAAUUAUGUAUAUAACGGGUGAUCUUAUCGGAAACAUAAUUUGAGAACUACUUCAUGUUUUUAGUUGCUGUUUUUUAGGGACAAUUAUUGAACGGUUUGUGCAUAAAUAUCAGACCAUCCAGCCUAACGCAGUGAAGUCACUGCCCUAUUAGGAGUAGGAAAAAAAUCAGUUCUUCGACCACACAACUGAAGCCUGAUUGUACUUCAGUUUACCAUCAAAUGGCCAGUUAGUAAGGUCUAGUAAGCAAUCUAGGCAGACACAUACAAAGUUAACAUCAAGUGGUUGAGUUAGCAAGAUCUAGCAAGCAAUCUAGACACGUGACCUACAUGGGAAAGAAGAAGACACGGAAGGAAAAGAAAGGCAGUGAGAACCUUUACCUAGACAAUUCAGUUCGUUUGCCAAGCCAUCGUUGGCUGGGCCAACCUUCGUCUUUCUCCUCCGAGCCAGCACCAAGAUGCCCAUCUCAUCCUGGCCGAGGAACCGCGACCCCGGCAGCUCGCCACUGGCACCAAAACAGCAUCUAUCCGUCCUGCCAGCGCCUGUCCCGACCAUGUAGGCUGCAAGGGGCCUGACAAAUAAUUUUGUUCCACAAAUUCUUGUGUAAACGAACAACACUGAACAAGGAUCCCUACAAUAGUGUUCCUAGAUACCAAAAAUGUUAUGCUAAACAUGCUACUGAUUGUGCGAAACUCAAAUACAAUGCUUACCAACCAAUCAAUAUGCCAAAGUAGUAUUUUUUGCAUUCCUUCAGGCCAACACAAAUUUAGCCCAGGUUUGAAGCCAUAGUGUAGUGUCUGAGUAAACCUUGUUGUAAUAUAAAAAGUGACUACACAAAUGUGUUCUGCACAGUGGGAUGUUGGUGCAUCUGUUGCAUCGUUGAAGUGGUCGGUGUACUGACUACUGAGUAGUGCCCAGGUUCUGUAGCUAGUCAACACCAAUCAUGAGGAACAUAUAACUUCAUGAUCCUCAUGUACAUCAGAUAACUUUAUCAACGGGCAUAUCUAGUCAUCAUUUAAGGACAGAAUCAAGAAAGCAGAGGCAAAUGCAAGGAGAGAAUAAAACCAUUACGUCAUAUUACUGGUCGAAUAUAACUGAAGCGUAAUCUAUUGUCGGGGAUAGCUAGCUCCCAGUAAGCAAAGAUGAUAUCAGUUGAAACAAUAACUGCUGCUGAAAUAACAUGUUUUCAUGACCAAUCUAAUUUGCUUGUAACAAAAAAAUCUAUGUCUUAUCUUAUAUAAGAAGUAAAUCUACACCAGCAACCAACAGAACAGGGGAAGAAUGGAAAUUUCGUAGGAGAAAUUGUGUUGGUCAUUGCUAUAGCUGCAAGUUGAUGAACUAAAAUAUUCUCCAACUCAAGGGAGGCACCACCGUACAUGUAAGCUAUAUAGUAACUAUCUUCUCUGAACGGGCCGUCGUCAUUUAUCGUUUACACCAUUUUCUAGUUGUUGUUACAUUUAAGAAAAACCAAACUAAUACUGAAAACACGUAUGAUAUUUUAAAAAAUAACACAUAUGAAAUUAUGAACUAAUUUAGAACAUUUUUUCAUAAGAAAAGGUAAAAUAGAGUCAUAGGCUAUCAUAUUGUUGCAAGAACACUUUCUGGAAAUCAAAAUGAAAUGAAAUAAUCAUACAUCAGUCUCCGCAAGUCUCACAUAGACCAUCUCAUAUAUGCCAAUUUCAUGUCAAAUAAUGAGAUCAUCAUCAAGAUAUAUCUUCCUCAUUACAGUGCAAAGUAAUAGCCUACCCCAACUUGUUUGGGACUAAAGGCUUUGUUGUUGUUGUAUUACAGUGCAAGGUAAUCACAAAUGGCUGUAAAUCAAUAGUAAUUAUGUAUAAGCAUGCAUGAGAUCAAUACUCAGGCCGUAGUGGAAAUUAGUGGUAAAUCGAUAAACAAAAUCUGUAUACGCUUGAGAGAAAAUUAGAAGUGCAUCUAACCAUAGCAUGUGCAGGUCACAUACCAAUAAUAGAAUAGUUGGCGUCGGGAAAAUCCACCAGAUCUUUAAUCAACGGAAAGAAAGCGACCCUCAUCCUCUAGUUGUCUGUCAUCCUAUAACCAGCACUCCAUCGUGAAUAUCAAUGCUUCCUUUCAUUUCCCAAACCUUCUUCUUUCACAUUUUCUUGUAAUGAUUCCUUUGAACAAAUAUCUAACCACACAUGCUUGUGCCAGUGCUGCUCGCAUCAUGUUCUCCUGGAAUCUAAUAUGUAGGUCUAAAUGUUCCAUUACCAAAAAAACUGGACAUUGAAGAUUUGCAUUACCAGUAGCUUACUUAUUACUGACAUUCAUGUGGGAUUGGAAGAAAAUUCAAUUUGCCUUUAUUUUAGAAAAGGUUACCUAAAUAGUCCUAGGAGACGCAGCGGCCACAGUCCAGGACGUAGCGUCUAUGUGUACUGGGCCUUUGGUGCACGACCGCGCGUGUCGGUUGGGGCCUCACAUGCUACCCGACACAGUCCUGCACUAACAAACUUUUGAUGUUUCCCUCCUCCAAGGUUGUGAACAUGAGACAAAUUUUUUUUGUCUUCGACCACUAAUCAAGUUUAGAACUGGUCCAACAAUUUCGUGAGAUCUGAAAGAAAAAGACAUGAUGCCACAUGGAAAUAUCAUGGCCACCGAAGUGUAGCACUUAUGAGUUCAUGAAACCACUUUCGUGAAGGAAAAGAAGAAGAAUACUGCUGGCAGUACAUGAAGUAGCAAGCAUAAUUCAAACAAAUAGAGUCAUGCUUAGAAUUAGGGAGCAAAGAUGAUUUCAAGAAUAAAAGCAAAAAUUAACUCAGCAGUGCUCACAUUAGUGGUGUUGUACCGCAAGAUGGAUGCACUGCGGAAAGGGAUAGGUGCAUCCAGCGCCAGCUAGAGGCGGACGGAAGUGAAAGGCACCAUGGCAUCAAAACAAGGGCUGAGAGGACAAGCGCAUGCCUCCGCCUCAUCGCUGAUCUUAGGCAUCCCUGAUUUCUCCAUUACGCAACCAGGGAUAAGUUCUGUCAAAUUACAAAUCACUAUGGCUGGGAGCUGGUGUCACCAUGGCUUGUCCAAAUCAAGCACUUAGUUCUUCUGGAUUGGAAAGACAACAAACUGAAUAAUUAGUGCAGAAUCACCCUGCAAAUCAAACAUGUUUCUUGUUUCUUCGUGCAACAUAAGCCCUGCAAAUCAAACAUGUCAUCAGCUAACUGAACAAUUUCCACAAGCACUCUCCAUGCCCUACAAAUCAAACAUGUCAUCACAUAGAUUAGAACAAAAUUUGGACUUGUUAUUUUUGACACUGUAAUACAUUUAAUCAAGUGAUUUCUAGAUAAAUGUGGAGUUAGGAAACAAAAACUUGACAGUGAUUUAGGAAAUUGCAAAACAUUUGUGCAGCAAUAUUAACAACAAUUCUGGUCCUUUUAGUAUCUCCAUACACACAAAAACGUGACAACACUAUAGACGCUUCAUGUGCAAUGGAGAUAGACAAAUUGCCUCCUUUCAUAAAGGUCCAUUAUGGAUGAGAAAAUUUAAAUGGAAGAAAUUGAGGUUUUUGAGCUUAGAAAACAUGAUAAGGAAGCAUUCGCAUAAAUAUUUGCAGUAGAAAUCAUGUAUUUGAAUACCAAUAACUGGUAAUGGUUCCACAACAGAUGUCCACUUGCAACAUUACUACUCUAGCUGUCCGACACAUAACCCGGGAGGGAAUAUAACUCUAUUGUAGCAUCUACCACAUUAUAUACAGGUGCAAUCUGCAAAAACCUAGUGAGUAACCGUGAUUAUUUUAGGUCUGCCAAACCAAAUGCAACCAAGAAAAAAUACAUUGAUGAGAUGAAUGGCUGCUUACUUCUCCCCGGGUUUAGAGUGUAUUCCUUUUAGCAUUCUUUAGACUUCUCUGGUAGCUGGAAUAGCAAGAGAGAAUUAUUAGGUAGUAACUUCUUUGAAUUUACAUAGCAAGGUCGCUGCAUUGGAACUACCAAUAAGACUGGAACUUCAACAUGCACAAAGCUAUGAUUAGGUUUAAGAAGCAAUAGAGCUUCAAAUAUGACAAUAUUUCUUAAAAAAGUAAUAAUUAUCACAAAAUAUUUCACCUCUAUGUUCCGAUCCCCCCACAUUCUUCCAUCAAAACCCAACAUUCAAUAGGAUGCCAGUAAAGAUAAACCAUAUGGGAGACAUAACAUGUGCAGCCACACAAAAACUUUAAGAAGUGCAACCUGUCGAAAACAAAACCCAUACAAACAUAUUUGCACUGGUAAGGAGGUAUAUAAGUGUGAGAGUCAAAUGUCACAACUUGGUAGCUGUGAAAAUUCAUUUGCAAACCAUUUCGUUUGUGGCUAUGGAGGUCGUGAUGGUCUAGCAUAACCACCCCAUACAAAUGUUGCCCUCCUAACUGAUGGAUAGUAAUUUCCGAACAUGUGGUGUAGCAUGAAUCUAGUAGUAUACGCGCGCUUUGCCACGCCGUUUUGUUUCUAACGUUCAUAGGUUUGCGAGGUGUGGUAAAAAUAGUUUGACCUUUGUAAUUUGGCUCAUGUACAGUAUCUCCCAUGAUAUACCUAAGUGGAUGUGAGGAACAAUAUAGAUCGUGCUAUUCAAUUGACAAAUAAAGAUACAUACAAAAAAAAGAUAAGCUAUGCAAAAUAAGAUAAAAUGGUUCUCAUCUAACCUCAAAUAAUGCCUGCUCAAAUGCAACAUUAAUCAGCUUAUUCUGAAAAUGUAAAUACAUGAAGUCAAGACAACUUGAAUCACCAAUGGUACUAAAAAGAUUUACAGGAAGUAAAGAAACAUCGGAUAAGCAUGCGGCCGUCCUAAAAUUUUCUGGAAAAUGAGUCAGAUCAGAUUCGUGAGCAACAUACAACAGAAAUCAAACCUGCAUAUUUUGUUCCUCAUACUGAGAUACAUUUUGGUUUCAACAAGUGCUCAAUGGGAAAACAAACUCUUUAUACUCCAUUGAUGUACUACAAUAGCAUUUAAGAAAAUUAGAAUUAUCACAAGUUAUCAUUUAUAGGAGAAGCGACAGUCAUAUAUCUCCAAAAUCACUGAACAACAAGAUUUGGUCACAAGCAGCUGCAAAAUCAUUUAUAGGAGAAGCAGUACAUCAUAUUGCUAUGAAAUAUCUCCAAAGUCACCCACCAUCACUUCAGGUUGAAUAGCAUUAUCUAAGGUCUAUUAUAGGCAGAAUAAUCAUGAGGGGCACAUGAAGGAAGUAAAUUUCUUACAUGAACAACAGUCAGCUGGUCCGCGUCUAAUGCAAGUCAGUGCAGCCUCUAAUCAACAUGCUUGAGCGAACAUGUUGAGCAAACAUACUGUGGAGCACAUAUAUUCAUGUCUAGCAAAAAAAAGGUCGAUUAUAGAUUAAUCAAGGGUAGUAGUUCAAAGUAGCAUCAGACAAACCCGUAUAUGUGGAAUACUUAAUCUUAUCUAGCUCAUCAUCCUCACCCUUUGUUCCAUAAUGUGCCACUGCAGCAGCAGUAGCAGCUUAACACAAAUUAGGAGUGAACAGCCAACCAAUCAAUCUGCAACAUGAGGGAGAGGCUUGAGACGGAAGAGCCAUGGCGGCAGUGCCAGGUUCUCUCCGUCCGCAAGACAAAGAGGACUAUCAGUAUGCUUAUCAGCCGCACCGUCCGUCCACGACUGCGCCGCUGGACGGCACCGACCCAUGGCUUGAGGCCAGCAUUACCCUGCUUUUCUGCAACAUAAAACCAUCUACCGGAGUAACAGGCGCUGACAGACAACAGCCCGCUCAAGAAAUUAAAGGAGGAAAGAAGAAGGGCAAACCUAAAAGUAACGAAGAAGGAAGACCAAGCAGGGGGAGUCGACCGCACCGAGACGGGCAGGGUUGUCGAUGCAGGUGAGGGCGAGGGCGGGGUCGAGGGGCUCCACGAACUCCUCAACGCAGCUGACGCCGGCAUCGAUGCGCGGGCGGCGCUUGAGCGUGAGGACGGCGCGGGAGGGGUCGCGGUCGUCGGUGCCGUAGAGGCGGACGUCCCGCUGGGCGGCGGUGGCGGCGGCGGCGGCGGCGAGGGGCCGCGCGGGGGCGUCGGUGCGGAGCAGGCGGGGCGCGAGGAAGGAGGAGAGGCUGGAAGGGGCUUGAUCUCGAUCUCCAUGGGGUUGGGGUUGCGGCUAGGGCUGGAAGGGGCGGGCGGCGGCGUCUAGGGAUCGAGAGGAGCGGACGAAAAAACCUCCGAAAAAAAACCUACGAAAAAAAAUCAGUGGAGGUGGGACGAAAAAAAACCGAACGAAAGUGGCGGGACGAAAAAAAAUUUGGAAGCGAGACUACCAACUGCUCCAUUAGGAGUAGAGAUUUCGCUGUGCCAUUUUCCAUCUUUUCCGAAGGACGGAACUGGUCGGCCUGAAACCGAUCUCGUCUCGUGAUCUCCCUUUCCCUCGCCGCGACAUCUCCGCUUCGGCUUCGACACGUAGUCCGCGGCGCAGAUACGCUGAGACGGCGGCGAGCCCCACCCGAAAGCCAAGAUCUGCCUCCGACGAGUAGAGUAGGUAGCUGCGGGCUCUCCAUGUGACAAGACAACGCGGCCGGCCGACGUCGCGCGCGCGCGCGCGCAUUCAUUCGCGCCCAACAAACCAUGAACCAAGCCUCGCAGAUUCGGGGACGGUGCAGCGGCCGACCUCGCAACGCCCGUGUGGUUGCCGGUUCAAAUCCGGGGGACAGAGACGGUAUGGCGCCCAUGCCGGCCGCGCUUGCCGGUGCACCGCUACCGGGUGGACACGCACGCACUGCGCCCCGGGCCGACGGUUACAUGCGAUGUUAGGUGAGGCUGCAGGCAUGCUGACUCGGUGCUGCGUGGGGUCUGACUCCGAACAGGACGUGUAGAUUUGUGGGUAGGGUAGCACGAGCGGAAACUUCGAUGGGUGGGCAAGCUCGGCUUGGAAGAGUACCAACUGCCAAACUGUUGUUAGCGGUGUUCUGGUCGAUUUUCAGUGAAAUGGCUGUGAGUGAGUCAUGUUCGCCCUGGUUCCACGUCGAUGAAUCGAUGGAUCAUGGUUAGAGGUCCAUUGCGGCAGCGAUCUCGGGAACAAACUCUUGCCGCCCUUGCGUUGGACCGUCAACAUUACAAACCUAGAUGAUGUGUACACAUAUAUGGUCCACGUGCAUGCACAUAUAUGGUCUACAUGCAUGCAUGUUACUGAUAUUAUGAUACAGUAGUAUACUUUUUUUUUUGCGGGAAGAUACAGUAGUAUACUGUCUGAGUGCAGUGCACGAGACGAAAGUCAUCUACACAGGCAUGGCAUCGAUCCCUACAAGAAAACUUAUGCAUCCUACUGGUCCUUGCACUGCGCAUCGAUGGGGUCCGUUGUUGCCCCCGACACGGCGCCACCCGCCUUUACCCGUAAUCCGGUGGGAGCGAGAAUGUGCAGGCACAUGGGGCGCUUCCUGGAAAGCGGCAGAGAACCCACCGCACGUAGCCAUCUCGCCAUGCCAUGCCCCGAUCCCAUAGAGAAAUCUCGAAUCGCGCUUUCGAGCAAAUGAAUAUACUGCACCUGGCCCUCCCAUGGAAAUGGAAAGGGGGCAAGGGCCAAGGGCCGCUAAAGCUCCGUCUCUAGCUAGGUUGGCCAGGCCGAAUUAGCCAAGGAAUGACGCGGCCAGCUCCACACACGAACGUGGACGACCGCGCGCGCCUUUCUGAUCCGCCGGUGACUCGGCCGGCCCGGCUGCUGACUCCGCAUGUCCGCUGCCUUUGCCAAAAGGAUCCACCACCGCGCGCGGCCGCCUAUAAAAGCCCGGCCACCGCAGCGGCACUCUGGUACCAAUCCCCGAUACCUUACUCGCUAAGUUAAGCCACCACCACCAGCGCAGCGCAACGCACGCCGGACCUAGUUGAUCGCUCGUUCUUCGUCGAGCUUCCUGCAGCAGCCAGCCAAGAUGAAGUCGAGCAGCGGCGGCCAUGUCGUGGGAGUCCCGGUGACCUCCAAGGCGUAUGGGAUUGAGGAGAAGGCGCCGUCGGCCAGGGACGGCCAGUCGUUCAGGAAGGCCGACGGCGACCACCUUGCUGUCUCCUUGACGAAUCCUAGCCCCUACACUUCUUUCGGCUACAAGCACAGUAGGUCCCGAUCAUUCAUGCAUGCAUGGCCAUAUUUUGCCAUCGAACUUCUGACGCAUGCAUGCAAGAGCAAAGAUGUUGAGGCUUAUGCUAGUGUGUUGAUUCUGCAGGCAGCAAAGGUCAGGUUGUCCACUGGGUGAGCAAGCUGAGCAGAAGGGCGCAAGGCUUCCGUGAGCAUGGUGAGUAGCACGCACUCGAUCGUGCAUGCAUGUUUCUUCUGUAAUUCAAUGGCUGUUAAAUGUUGGUGCGUGAAAGGUGCUUGUGUUCUGACCAACAUUGUUCACCGUAUGCAGUGACCCUGGGUCCCAAGAUAUCGGAGACCGUGAAGGGGAAGCUGAGCCUGGGGGCCAAGAUCCUGCAGGCCGGCGGGAUCGAGCGCGUGUUCCGGAAGGCGUUCACGGCCGAGAAGGGCGAGCGGCUGGUGAAGGCGCUGCAGUGCUACCUCUACACCACCGGCGGCCCCAUCGCCGGGAUGCUCUUCGUCUCCACCAAGAGGAUCGCCUUCCGCAGCGACCGGCCCGUCACCGUCACCUCCCCCAGGGGCGACGUGGCGCGCGUCUCCUACAAGGUGGUCGUCCCGCUCAAGCGGAUCGACAAGGUGCGGCCGAGCGAGAACGUCGACCGGCCGGAGGAGAAGUACAUCCACGUCGCCACCGUCGACGGCUUCGAGUUCUGGUUCAUGGGCUUCGUCAGCUACCAGAGGUCCUGCAAGUACAUGCAGCAGGUCAUCGGCGGUGCCGAGCUGCAAUGACUAGCCGAGCGGAGGAAGACGCGAGGCCCGCCGUUUGUUCCGUCGGCACGAUGAGAAGUGGAGUUGCGGGCUGCCGCUGCUGCUGCGCCAUCUUUUGCUGUGGAGCAGCAGGAGCAGCCCUGGCUGGAAUUGCUCGAUCUUAUUUCGGAUCGGAGCAACUUGGAUCCUUCCGCGUACGAUUUGGAUUGGCUUAUGUUUUUCCAAGCGAUUGCUUAAUUUGUACUAGGAUGGACAAAGAAAUUAACCGUGCUGCAUGUGAAUGAAUGGGAAGGCAGUUGUUCAAAAUUAUUGUCCUUAUGCAUGAUCUUAACUCUUAAGCUUCCAUAUAUCGAAUUUGCGAAAAUAUGAGACGAAUACAAUUGAACCAACUAGUAUCAGGCCGCUUCUAGGGGGUGCAAACGAGUCGACUUUAAGCAACCUAGACAUACCUAGGCUCAGCACAUGUUAACAAGGAGCUAGCUCAACAGAACUCUAGCUGCCCUAACAAAAUGAACUCUAGAUAGAAUUACAAUUGCAAAGUUGGCUGAUAGUUGGUUAGUAAUGAUCUUGAGUCGAUCUCAGGCCAUUUUUAGAAGAAGAAAAAUACUAGAAAUUAUUCUGAUUUUCAUCCUCUUUCUCCAGAUAAAGUACCUAUGGUACUCGAGCUAUGUGGUCAAAAUAGAAAGAGCUGGCCUUACUCAAACUCGGCUAACUAUUGAACCGAGCUAUAAAGAAGCUCAUACUCAACCAAUUUUCUUUUGAGUCUGUCUUGAGUCAAGCUCUUUUUCUUUUUCUUUUUCUUUUUGCUCUUGAGCGGUUCACGAGCCUUGGGCUUUUCUUGCAACCCGUUUUGUCCUGACAGACGAUUGUGCUCGAAAGUUCUUCUCUCACAUGUUCAACUUCUUGUUCAUGGGCUUCUCGAGCUAUCAGGAUUACUUGCGCCAUUUUUUAGACCUAUUUUCUUUUACUCAAUACCCAUUUCACAGGCUUGGGGGCGGAGAAAAAACCUUGAACGUCACUCAUCCAAAUAAAUCUUAUUUUGACGAACNNNNNNNNNNNNNNNNNNNNNNNNNNNNNNNNNNNNNNNNNNNNNNNNNNNNNNNNNNNNNNNNNNNNNNNNNNNNNNNNNNNNNNNNNNNNNNNNNNNNNNNNNNNNNNNNNNNNNNNNNNNNNNNNNNNNNNNNNNNNNNNNNNNNNNNNNNNNNNNNNNNNNNNNNNNNNNNNNNNNNNNNNNNNNNNNNNNNNNNNNNNNNNNNNNNNNNNNNNNNNNNNNNNNNNNNNNNNNNNNNNNNNNNNNNNNNNNNNNNNNNNNNNNNNNNNNNNNNNNNNNNNNNNNNNNNNNNNNNNNNNNNNNNNNNNNNNNNNNNNNNNNNNNNNNNNNNNNNNNNNNNNNNNNNNNNNNNNNNNNNNNNNNNUUCGGCCAGUUCUCUUGGAUUUUUUUUCCUUUUGGUUUCGGUUUGCAUUUCCCUUUUUUGCCCUUUAUUUCCCCGUUUAUCGCUUUUUCGUGUUAUUCUGUGAUUCUAAUUUCCUUUUAUUUUCUUGUAUUACUUUUUUAUUUUAUGUUUUUAUAAAUUAUUUAAAAUAUGAUGAACAAUUAUCAAACACAUAAUAAAUACUUUUUAAAUACGUGAUCAACAUUUUUAUAAUACACAUGAUAGAGUUUGUAAUACAUGGUGAAUAUUUUUCAAUUUUUUAAAAAAAUCUUAUAAAUAUUUAAACUUGCUUUAACAAUAUUUAAUACGAACAUCAUAGUAUGUUUUACUAUUCUUACUAUGACAGCACUUUUUUGAACCGGGAAAUCUAUAUGCAUUUUUACGAAAAGGAAUGGUUGUUUGCCCGACAAUUUGCGGACUCACUCAGCCAUCCAUGUAACCCAUCGACCACUGCAGUUGUGAUACAAGAAAAUCAAGCCCACCUGCCACCGAUCAACUAGAAAAGAUGGCGCAUUGAAGGACAGGCGUGGCUAUACCUCGGUUGCUGCGAAAGGUAACGCCUCAUCGCCUCAAGGAAUGCCCCCCUAAUGGGCUGGUGCAGUGACACUUUGUUCAUGGGUUAGUUUACCUUUUUUUUCAUUUUUCCUUUACAGUUUUGUUUUAUAUAUUAUAAAUAUAUAUAUCCCAUAAAAUACUCUACUUCAAUUUUUUUAAACAUUCACUGCACAGAUAAAAAAUGUCAGAUUCUCAACAUACAAAAUAAAAAAUGCCAUGCAGUGAAAAAACAGUGUUCACCCAUGCAAACAAUGUUCAUGCAACCGAUAUGAAUGUUGAUGCAGCCAGAAAGUAUGCACGACAUUAAAAAAAUGUUCAUGUAUAUCAACAAUAUGUUAAUUACGUUUAAAUUUUCUAACACAAUAUAGAAAAGCCCGCGUAAUUUUAAAAAAAAGUGUAUCUUCAAAAAAUAAUGUGAUAUGAAAAAAUCAUGAAAUUUGUGAAAAUUGUCCCUUAAAUGUAAAAGCAUUUGUACAGUUAAAAAUGUUUUGUGCAAUUAAAAAAGUGAACUUGUAUUAAAAAAAUGUUUAUGUUUAUUAAAAAAAGUAUUUAAAAAGUGUACAUCAUGUCUUCGAAAAAUGUUCAGCGUUGUUCAGAAAAAAUGUUAUGGUGUACACGAAAAAUGUACAACAUGUAUUGAAAAAGGUUUUCAUUCAUUUUUAAAAAAAGAAGAAAAUGAAGAAGAGAAAUAAAUUGAAGCGAAAAACUUAAGAAACACAAAAACUGAAGAAAGAAACAUAGAAAACCGAAGAAACCUAAAUUAAAAAAUCGGGGGAAAGGAGUAAAUACAAAAAAUGAAUGAAAUUGAGAAGCAUCCAUAAAUCUCGCAGCGGGUGAGAAACAGCCCGGGCGGCCACCUUUGCUGCUUGCCGAUCGAGGGUGGCGCCGCGCCCCGCCCGGCUGUUUCCCCCUCAAAGCAGGCAAGACAUACCAUGCCGCCGAAGCGGUUGGUGCAUGAUGCAAACGAGCCCCGUACGUGGCGUUUGCAAAACCUGGUCGAUCGGUGCCGAUCCGCGUGUCCCGAUCGACCAUAGCUUAUGUGUUGAGCUUGACGUAGCUGGAGCUCGGAGGAGCCAAAUUAGGUUGGUUGGGGAGCAAGCUGGCUAGCCGGACGGAUUCGCAACGGCUUGCGUAUGCAUUUGUGUGAGCGGUGACGAGUACCGAGCUCAAAACAGAAAAAGAAAAAAAAAAGAAAAAACAAGGAACGAGUGUAUCGCGCACGCCUAGUCGCGUAUGCAUUUGAAUUUGAAUUUGAUAGAUCUUCUGCGUGUUGUUUAAUUUGCUUACUACAAAGAGUGUAUCCACUGACAGCUCGCCCGUUGGCCACUGGCUGCAUGCAUGCAUGCCGGACUGUUUCCCCGUGCAUUCGUGUCGCCCAAUUUCCUAGAGCAUGGAAACUCCCACAGUAGUACCACAAUUCAAACGCUUGAUUCGCAUAAGGCCAUUUUUUUGUGUAUAUGGGAAGAUGUAGAACACUGAUAAUGACAACUUGACACGGUGACAGUCUCACAAAGGUGAUGCCAGCUACUUUUGGCAAACUUGCUUAAUAAAAAAUACAUACUCCCUACGUCCCAAAAUAAAUGUCUCAACUUUGUACUAACUUUAAUAUAAAGUUGUAUUAAGCUCGAGACAUUUAUUAUGGGACGGAGGGAGUAUUAAUUAGCACCUUCCAUCAAAUGAAAUAUACUUUUCAGUACUACCUUCCGCCAAAAUGCUAACUGUCCGCUGCAAUUUCGCUAAAUACUAGCCAUCAUGGGCGGGCAUAGAGUAGGGACGGUAUCUGGUGGCUUUUUGUUGGUCAUGCAGAUGUCCGGACUUUCGUAAAGCUUUCCCACAUUUGCCUUUGAUUUGCCGGAAAGAGUAUGUCCAAACUGCUCGACCGACUAAUGCAGGACCACGUUUGAUAACAAACUGAGUCCAGACACCGCGGUCCGGACGUUUGCGGGAUAUUUGACGAUCCGGCUUGGAGAUGCCCUAAGAUAUAGCAGUCCUAUGUAUAGAUCGGCACCGCAUGCGAUUCUCGUACGCACUUACUGGCGGCCACUGAGGGAUGGAAAGGAACAAACUUCACAUCACGUACAAAUCCACAAGAAGAAAAUAAUGCCAGGAACUCUACUUCCAGAUCACUUCACUAUAAAUACAGGCACGAAGCAUUCGUGCUGCCUCACACGAGCCACCGAAGCACACCCUAGCUUGGCCUCACUUAUCCUCGAGCACACGCCAGCAGAGGUUUCAGCCAUGAGUAGCCGCCGUGUUGGCCUCCUUCUCCUCUCCCUUCUGGCCACCACCCUCACGUGCAGCGCGGAUCCGCCGCCGGUGCACGACACGGACGGCAACGAGCUGCGCACCGACGCGAACUACUACGUCCUCCCGGCCAACCGCGCCCACGGCGGGGGGCUCACGAUGGCGCCGGGCCACGGGCGCCGCUGCCCGCUGUUCGUCUCGCAGGAGGCCGACGGGCAGCGCGACGGCUUACCCGUGCGCAUCGCCCCGCACGGCGGCGCGCCGUCCGACAAGAUCAUUCGGCUGUCGACCGACGUCCGCAUCUCCUUCCGCGCCUACACGACAUGCGUGCAGUCCACCGAGUGGCACAUCGACAGCGAGCUGGUGUCGGGCCGCCGGCACGUGAUCACCGGCC
rnacentral:lncRNA from 1 species